GAUGAACGCUGGCGGCGUGCCUAAUACAUGCAAGUCGAGCGAACAGACGAGGAGCUUGCUCCUCUGACGUUAGCGGCGGACGGGUGAGUAACACGUGGAUAACCUACCUAUAAGACUGGGAUAACUUCGGGAAACCGGAGCUAAUACCGGAUAAUAUAUUGAACCGCAUGGUUCAAUAGUGAAAGACGGUUUUGCUGUCACUUAUAGAUGGAUCCGCGCCGCAUUAGCUAGUUGGUAAGGUAACGGCUUACCAAGGCAACGAUGCGUAGCCGACCUGAGAGGGUGAUCGGCCACACUGGAACUGAGACACGGUCCAGACUCCUACGGGAGGCAGCAGUAGGGAAUCUUCCGCAAUGGGCGAAAGCCUGACGGAGCAACGCCGCGUGAGUGAUGAAGGUCUUCGGAUCGUAAAACUCUGUUAUUAGGGAAGAACAAAUGUGUAAGUAACUAUGUACGUCUUGACGGUACCUAAUCGGAAAGCCACGGCUAACUACGUG
rnacentral:rRNA from 1 species